AGAGUUUGAUCCUGGCUCAGGAUGAACGCUAGCUACAGGCUUAACACAUGCAAGUCGAGGGGCAGCAUGGUCUUAGCUUGCUAAGGCCGAUGGCGACCGGCGCACGGGUGAGUAACACGUAUCCAACCUGCCGUCUACUCUUGGACAGCCUUCUGAAAGGAAGAUUAAUACAAGAUGGCAUCAUGAGUCCGCAUGUUCACAUGAUUAAAGGUAUUCCGGUAGACGAUGGGGAUGCGUUCCAUUAGAUAGUAGGCGGGGUAACGGCCCACCUAGUCUUCGAUGGAUAGGGGUUCUGAGAGGAAGGUCCCCCACAUUGGAACUGAGACACGGUCCAAACUCCUACGGGAGGCAGCAGUGAGGAAUAUUGGUCAAUGGGCGAGAGCCUGAACCAGCCAAGUAGCGUGAAGGAUGACUGCCCUAUGGGUUGUAAACUUCUUUUAUAAAGGAAUAAAGUCGGGUAUGGAUACCCGUUUGCAUGUACUUUAUGAAUAAGGAUCGGCUAACUCCGUGCCAGCAGCCGCGGUAAUACGGAGGAUCCGAGCGUUAUCCGGAUUUAUUGGGUUUAAAGGGAGCGUAGAUGGAUGUUUAAGUCAGUUGUGAAAGUUUGCGGCUCAACCGUAAAAUUGCAGUUGAUACUGGAUAUCUUGAGUGCAGUUGAGGCAGGCGGAAUUCGUGGUGUAGCGGUGAAAUGCUUAGAUAUCACGAAGAACUCCGAUUGCGAAGGCAGCCUGCUAAGCUGCAACUGACAUUGAGGCUCGAAAGUGUGGGUAUCAAACAGGAUUAGAUACCCUGGUAGUCCACACGGUAAACGAUGAAUACUCGCUGUUUGCGAUAUACAGCAAGCGGCCAAGCGAAAGCGUUAAGUAUUCCACCUGGGGAGUACGCCGGCAACGGUGAAACUCAAAGGAAUUGACGGGGGCCCGCACAAGCGGAGGAACAUGUGGUUUAAUUCGAUGAUACGCGAGGAACCUUACCCGGGCUUAAAUUGCAGAUGAAUUACGGUGAAAGCCGUAAGCCGCAAGGCAUCUGUGAAGGUGCUGCAUGGUUGUCGUCAGCUCGUGCCGUGAGGUGUCGGCUUAAGUGCCAUAACGAGCGCAACCCUUGUUGUCAGUUACUAACAGGUUCCGCUGAGGACUCUGACAAGACUGCCAUCGUAAGAUGUGAGGAAGGUGGGGAUGACGUCAAAUCAGCACGGCCCUUACGUCCGGGGCUACACACGUGUUACAAUGGGGCAUACAGCGAGUUGGAUGUGCGCAAGUACGUCCGGAUCAAUAAAGUGCCUCUCAGUUCGGACUGGGGUCUGCAACCCGACCCCACGAAGCUGGAUUCGCUAGUAAUCGCGCAUCAGCCAUGGCGCGGUGAAUACGUUCCCGGGCCUUGUACACACCGCCCGUCAAGCCAUGAAAGCCGGGGGCGCCUAAAGUCCGUGACCGUAAGGAGCGGCCUAGGGCGAAACUGGUAAUUGGGGCUAAGUCGUAACAAGGUAGCCGUACCGGAAGGUGCGGCUG
rnacentral:rRNA from 1 species